rnacentral:rRNA from 1 species
CCUACGGGAGGCAGCAGUGGGGGAUAUUGCACAAUGGGGGAAACCCUGAUGCAGCGACGCCGCGUGUGGGAAGACGGUCCUCUGGAUUGUAAACCACUGUCCCCAGGGACGAAGAUGACGGUACCUGGGGAGGAAGCUCCGGCUAACUACGUGCCAGCAGCCGCGGUAAUACGUAGGGAGCGAGCGUUGUCCGGAAUUACUGGGUGUAAGGGGAGCGUAGGCGGGACUGCAAGUUGGGUGUCAAAUCUACCGGCUCAACCGGUAGCCGCACUCAAAACUGGAGUUCUUGAGUGAAGUAGAGGCAGGCGGAAUUCCUAGUGUAGCGGUGAAAUGCGUAGAUAUUAGGAGGAACACCAGUGGCGAAGGCGGCCUGCUGGGCUUUUACUGACGCUGAGGCUCGAAAGUGUGGGGAGCAAACAGGAUUAGAUACCCGGGUAGUC